rnacentral:rRNA from 1 species
UACGUAGGGACCAAGCGUUGUUCGGAUUUACUGGGCGUAAAGGGCGCGUAGGCGGCGUGACAAGUCACUUGUGAAAUCUCCGGGCUUAACUCGGAACGGUCAAGUGAUACUGUUGUGCUAGAGUACAGAAGGGGCAAUCGGAAUUCUUGGUGUAGCGGUGAAAUGCGUAGAUAUCGAGAGGAACACCAGAGGCGAAGGCGGAUUGCUGGGCUGAUACUGACGCUGAGGCGCGAAAGCUAGGGUAGCAAACGGG